AUUUAUUUAUCUUUAGACUUAUUUGAACAUUCUUUUCCAAAGUAGCAUAAUAUUUAAUAUUGUAUAUUAACAUUAAAUCAGGCCGGUUUUAUUUCACAUUAGUUGCUCGGCAAAAGGGCCGAAUUCACUUUCACAAACUGGUGCGAGUGAAGUGAAGGACUUUUUUUUCCGAAACGAAAUCUCGUCGCACCUGAAAACAUUGCCAAUUCGAAUAUAUUGAUUGAAUUUUUUCCACCAAUAACAAAUGUCUUUGUUCGAAAAUUGAAACGUUGACGAAUAACCUAUAAUGGUGUGAUGUGUUGAGUCAUUCAAGAAAUCGGACAAUAGUAUACACAAAUAGUAUACACAAAUCAAAAGAUAUAAAUGAAAAAAGGAAAAGAAAAAGAAUCGAAGAAAAUCACGUAACGCGUUGUAGUGUUAUUUAACCUCGAUUAAACGUGUUCUUUUGCAUCGAACCACCGAGUCGAUUCGCACGAUAUCCAUAGUCAUUUCUUUUCCGGCCAGUCGUGGUAUCAGAACUUUCACGCUCGAAAUGUUGGCCAGCCAUUGCGAAAUCAGAUGAUAUUUACACAACCGUGCCGACUUUUCUCACUCGUUCGCUUUAAUAAACGCGGACUAAUUAUCGUAGAAAUUGUAACUAUUAUAACACUUCUUGCCGGAAGAAUUACAGUUGGAUUACAUGUCAGAUGGGUCAUUAGUAUUCCUCAAGGUCAUGAUUGUUGGAUCAUCGGAGUAUAUACUACACAUGUUAUGUAAGAUAGAUCUCGAGAGAGGGUGUAUCUUGCCGCUAUGCACAUUUUAAUUAAAUACAUCUAUCAUUCAAUGCGUUUCGCAAAUAAGAAAUCCGAGUAUGUGAUUUAUUUUUAGGAGAUAAACUUAAUUACAAUGUUCAAUGGAAAUAAAAAUCUAUUUGACAAAACGGUUUUACAAGUGGAAAAAUUUUAAUGAGAAAUUUAAAAAAAAAUUUUUGAAAUGGAUUUAUGGUUGAGUUAUUAUUGUCUCAAUAAAAUGUGGAUAUUAAAGAUUGAGUAAUUG